rnacentral:rRNA from 1 species
UACGGGGGGGGUAAGCGUUGUUCGGAAUUACUGGGCGUAAAGGGCUCGUAGGCGGCCAACUAAGUCGGACGUGAAAUCCCUCAGCUUAACUGGGGAACUGCGUCCGAUACUGGAUGGCUUGGAUUUGGGAGAGGGAUGCGGAAUUCCAGGUGUAGCGGUGAAAUGCGUAGAUAUCUGGAGGAACACCGGUGGCGAAGGCGGCAUCCUGGACCAAUAUUGACGCUGAGGCACGAAAGCGUGGGGAGCAAACAGG